rnacentral:tRNA from 1 species
GGGGCUGUAGCUCAGUUGGCUUAGAGCGCCGCAUUCGCAUUGCGGAGGUCAGGGGUUCGACUCCCCUCAGCUCCA